rnacentral:rRNA from 1 species
UGCGUAGGCGGACUAAUAAGUCAGGGGUGAAAUCUCUCGGCUCAACCGGGAAACUGCCAUUGAUACUGUUGAUCUUGAGUUCGGUUGAGGUAGGCGGAAUGUGUAAUGUAGCGGUGAAAUGCUUAGAUAUUACACAGAACACCAAUUGCGUAGGCAGCUUACUAGACCGACACUGACGCUGAGGCACGAAAGCGUGGGGAGCGAACAGGAUUAGAUACCCUGGUAGUCC